rnacentral:piRNA from 1 species
UUCUCGGCCUUAAGAGUCAAGACUGCUUGAU